GAAAUAGAGAAUUUCAAAUCUUAUUAAUUUUUAUAGAAUCAUGUGUAUAGCAUUUCCUUGAAAAUCAAUUCAAUGACAUUCAUUCAUAAUCUAUAUUUCCUAGACAUGAUUUAAAAAUCCGAGUUAAAUUUUAUAGAUUCUAUCACAUAUUUUUUUGAUAGGAUUCAUGAGGGUUCACCUAUAAAUAACAUAUGAAAUUUGUUUCAAAUGAUAAAAUCUUCUCAAUGCACCAGUUUUUCACAAAAAAUAUUUAUGGAGCUUCAUUAUUUUCUUCUCCCAUCUUUGCAGUUGCAAUAAUUUGCUCCCACGUGCUUCAUGCUUUGUGAGUUCCACAAUCUGAAUAACCCUUUGCACUUGGAGUAGCAGAAGAAGACACAGAGAAGCAAAUUCGAAUCAACAAUCCGAGAUUAGAAGAGAAUGAAGAAAGGAAAGGGAGCGAUGGGAUCAGCGUCGGGACGAAGAUGGGGCAUUGGUUUCAUUGGCAAUUCAACUUCUCGCGGUAUUCCCCAUCCUCCUGGUUUUUCUUGCACUUCUCUCGAACAGGUUUCUUCCUCUCCUGGCUUCAAUUUCCCCUUUACCCCUUCAAAGUUAUAAGCAGGUUAUUUUUGGCUGGUGAAUGUGCUUGAACCUGAUUGUGGGAAUUCAAAUAGCAGAAGUGAUUAAGUGGAGGAAUCGUCAUGGUUUAAUUUACUGCCAACAAGUCUCAUAUACAGGAUCACUCUAUGUGAGGAACUAUUGAAUCAAAACAAGAGUUUUCAAAGGCACGGUCCAACUUCUUGCCAUGAUGAGAACAAGAAUUAGCACUGUAAUGUGAACAAUUGAAGAUUUCUGCAGUCUGCAAUGCCUAAGUAAUAUAGUAUCGGAUUGGUUUUUCAGCUCAAUUGAACCUGAAGUUUUGUGAGUUCAUAUAUAUAUAUAAGUCUGUUAUUCUUUGUAGCGUCAAGUUUUAGUGAAAACUCUAAUUAUAUCAUUGUUUUUAAUUUUUUUGCAAGGGUAUGUCAGAAUGCAACUUUAAUUGGCCUGAUCAAAUUUGGUCAUCAAAGUCACAUGAAUAGCUUCAUCCUAGAGCGAGAUUUGUAAAUCCAAAAGGGUUUUUAAGAAAGUAAUUGUCAAAGGCAAGGGAAUGUGGCAGCUUACGCUUCAGAUAUUAAAAUAAGGUUGCCCUGAUAGCAGCAUCAAGUGUUCAACUUAAUUUAGGAUUGAAUUAUCAUUGGCCAUUUGUUCCAUUCUGUGUAUAAUGGAAAGAUGAUCAUAGAAUUUAAGACAUAGCACAAGAUAAGUUUAAGUAUUGUAUACUCCAAAUGUGUAUUUAUUUCUCUUCAUUUAAAUGUUUUCAUUACAAUAAA